rnacentral:rRNA from 1 species
GAUGAACGCUGGCGGCGUGCCUAAUACAUGCGAGUCGAGCGAACAGACGAGGAGCUUGCUCCUCUGACGUUAGCGGCGGACGGGUGAGUAACACGUGGAUAACCUACCUAUAAGACUGGGAUAACUUCGGGAAACCGGAGCUAAUACCGGAUAAUAUAUUGAACCGCAUGGUUCGAUAGUGAAAGACGGUUUUGCUGUCACUUAUAGAUGGAUCCGCGCCGCAUUAGCUAGUUGGUAAGGUAACGGCUUACCAAGGCAACGAUGCGUAGCCGACCUGAGAGGGUGAUCGGCCACACUGGAACUGAGACACGGUCCAGACUCCUACGGGAGGCAGCAGUAGGGAAUCUUCCGCAAUGGGCGAAAGCCUGACGGAGCAACGCCGCGUGAGUGAUGAAGGUCUUCGGAUCGUAAAACUCUGUUAUUAGGGAAGAACAAAUGUGUAAGUAACUAUGCACGUCUUGACGGUACCUAAUCAGAAAGCCACGGCUAACUACGUG